UACGUAGGGGGCGAGCGUUGUCCGGAUUUAUUGGGCGUAAAGAGCUCGUAGGCGGUUCGAUAAGUCGGACGUGAAAUCUCCACGCUCAACGUGGAGGGGCCGUUCGAUACUGUCGUGACUCGAGUCCGGAAGAGGCGAGUGGAAUUCCUGGUGUAGCGGUGAAAUGCGCAGAUAUCAGGAGGAACACCAAUGGCGAAGGCAGCUCGCUGGGACGGUACUGACGCUGAGACGCGAAAGCGUGGGGAGCAAACAGG
rnacentral:rRNA from 1 species